AUCCCUACUAUUCAGCAUCAAGAAAGACAGCAAAGAUGGCCAAGAUCACAACCCUUUUCUUGACGUCUCUCCUCCUACUCUGCACAAUCUCAUCCUGCUUUGCUCGCCCCGAGCCAGCGUUUCUCGAUGUUACUCCGGUCGACACUAAACAUGCGGGUGUUGAAACCAAGCGUGAUGAUGAGUUGUUGGACGACAGCUGCAAAGGUGUUGGGGAAGAAGAAUGCUUGGUGAGGAGGACUUUGGCUGCCCACAUCGACUAUAUCUACACCCAAAAGCAUCAUCCUUGAACUUAAUUUCCUUUGUUGGUGAUGGGAAAAAAAAAAUGAAAGGUUUGAACAGUUUAGUGCGCCUCUACUUUGUUGUGAAUUAUGAAACAUCUACUGUGGUGGGAAAUUAGCUCAUCACUGAGAGCGGAUUCCGAGGGAGUCUACUUCUGAGAGUUCGUUUAUUAUUUGCAAACAUACGUAUCUUCAGCCCUACCAAUCUCUUUUGAGAUUAGUUUAUUGAGUGCCUAGCAAUCAUGUUUUUUCUUCUUCUGCUUCUUUUGUUGUGUAAUAAGGUUCUCGAGUUCUAAUAGUGAAAGAGGUAAACGAUUGCUUUGAGC